AUGACAGACUUCUUGAACCUCCACAUCAUCUCCCGUCCUCGUUAUUUUGGAAAGACCCUUAUGCUAUCAACACUACAGUCCUUUCUGGAUAUCAAACAUCGCAAUUCCUCGGUGAUUAACAAUUUUAGGGGUCUCAACAUCAUGAAGGACAAAAACUCCGUCAGAGAACACAGGCACAUGUACCCCAUUAUCCGUCUCAACUUUGGCCAUAUAAGGAGCAAAUCUUUUCGCAAAAAUUUUCGCCUAAUGAGGAAAGAAAUUGCAGCUGCAUUUCUGCUUCACAGCAAUGAUCUAUUAUGCGAAAAUAGUAGCACUCUAAAGCCAGAAGAUCGAUCUUUCUACGAUCGGAUACUAAAGGAAAGAGGAAACGACGAGGACCUAGCUCAGUCGGUUAAAUUUCUAGCCGAAUCUAUUCACCAGAGCUCAAAUCAUUAUUCGAUAAUCCUCAUCGACGAAUACGAUACUCCAAUUCAGACCGCGUUGGAGAAUGGACAUUUGGCGGAAAUGAAGAAAUUCAUGCUGUCGUUUUACUGGUUCACUCUGAAGGCGAAUAAAUUCUAUUGGAGGGCUGUUUUUACAGGGGUGACGCAUAUGCACUGUGGAAUACUGACGGGGAUCAUGGCGAUUGUUUCCACGGUCUUGGGUAAUACGUAUCAAAAAUGUUUUGGCUUUACAAGAUCAGAGGUUAAAGAGCUGGUAGAACGGAGUGGCAAAAGGCCGCAGGCGCUGUCUCACGUAGAAAACGUAUACGACGGAUACACGUUCGGGCGGGUAGAGCACGUGUUCAACCCUUGGUCCGUUUCAAAUUAUCUGUUCUGUGGUUGCAAAAUGACGUGGUCGGCUGGAGACUCUCAAGAAGCCGUGGAGAAGUUUAUAUUGGGCCAUGGAUUGUACCCUAUUUUAACCAUUCAGCGGAUGUUAACAGGUGAAUUUGUUUGGAAACACGUAUUACGGCAGAUAUUUGACGUCAAGACAUGGGAGGAAGAGCCGGCAUAUUGGGGUUACCUCUUGCAGUUGGGUUACUUAUCGACUACUAGGCGUGCUAAGGGAAUACGUCUGCUGGACUUAGUUUCCAAUCUUACCUUGCGCAUUCCAAAUUUGGAAAUUGGGUCUCGACUGCGAAUCCUACUGUACAAACGACGACCUCUUGCAAUGCGAAUUCCGAAUUACGAUCAGUUUGUCGCCGACUUGAUGGCCGGACGCUUUUCACGCGCACAAAAAACCAUUAAAAGGUACGUGCGAAAAGCUGGACCAUUUUUCAACCCCGAGCGUAAGGGACUCCAUCCGGAGCUACUAGCGGACUACGUUGUUAUGAUGCUGCGGGGAGUGGAACGACGCUACAAUUCCACUGUGACCGUCACCAGACGACCCGAAAAGAUUUCUAUUGAAGUUCUACCGAAAAAUAUUCAGGAGAUACCUGUUCGAGUGUCCAUUGAGAGAACGAGCGUUUUGCGGACGACUUGGAAGAAGAUGAAGAGAAUAUGGUGCCCGUUCUCCGAAAAGUUCAGAUCGAAUGAUACUGAAAUUCUGAUUGCUUGCAAUUCGUGGUUUGUGCAAACGUGUUUACGACGCGUGGAAACCGCUAAAAGUAUCUGA
rnacentral:lncRNA from 1 species